GUCUGAUGCUAUAUUUGCUGGCCUCCUAUUGAAUUUUUGUUUAUUGUUUCAAUUUUAAGAAUUGGAUGAAGAUUCACACCAAAAAAUUGUAACAGAUAUGAACCUCUCAGAAACUGCACCCUACAGAUGAUUUUACCAAAAGUUCCUGCUUUGGAUUAAGGUGGUUCACGCCAACUAAUGAGGUCCCUCUCUGUGGUUAUGCUACAGUGGCAUCAGCUGCUGUUAUUCCAUAUAAAAAGAAAAGUCUUUUUCAGACUACCACAGUUCUCCAUUACAAAAUACAUCAUCCUGAGAAGACCUGGGGCUUUUUCUGCCAGUUGACAUAAACUGAC
rnacentral:lncRNA from 1 species